rfam:Rattus norvegicus chromosome 6, whole genome shotgun sequence.
GGGGAUUUGGCUCAGUGGUAGAGCGCUUGCCUAGGAAGCACAAGGUCCUGGGUUCAGUCCCCAGCCCCG